UUGGAUAUAGUGAAGGUCAACAGCAAUAACAAAGAAGUGAUGAAUAAAUAGUGGCAGAAAUGGUCCUCGAUAUUUAAAUCCCACUAGGACACGAGCCUAUCAUUUUUCAGGAGGCAUAACUUUGUUCUCAUAUGUAUGUUUAGUCAAUCUUUAGUUAGUUUAAGAGGUCAAUCUGAGAUAUAUGAGAAUUAAGAGGUCAAUCUAAGAUAUAUUUUCGUUUCAAAAUAAAAAUCUGAGAUAUAUGAGAACUAUUUCUACACAUUUUGUGAGAUUUUUUAUUGAUUCAGGCCACCAGAUUUGGCUCAAAAGAUUGGUAAUGAAAAAUAUGAUGAAUUUUCAGUGGAUUUUUUAAAGGUUUUUCUGGCAGUUCAUAUUUUUGUAGACAGUUUGUGGUUGGAUUAAAAGUUUUGUGGGGUAAUGGUUGAUAUUAGAAGUUAGCUAGGGUUCCUCUUAGCUUUGCUUAUAAAAGUUGUGAUGCGAAAAAAAGGUUUUCUUGGGAGUGUUCGGAUAGGGAGAAACCAAAACAUGGACAUGGAAAACCAAUAGGGAAUCCUCAGGAAAAUGGAAAACUAUGUCAUUUAGUUUUGAAGUAGUUUUUUUUUUUUUUGUGGAAAUGUUAAAAGGUCAGUGGCCAAAUGGUAAGAGGUGUCUCCCCUAACCUUGGAAAUAUACAUUUAACGACUUUUUCCUGAAAGACAUCGAUAUCCAUGGUUUUCUAGACUGAGCAGGUUCUUAGUUUCUUCAGAUUGGCUGGCCAAAUACUCCCUUGUGGCUCUGUGGGGUUUGCUGAAGCCCAUAUCUGAUCAUCACCCUAUCAUUUUGGAGGUCCCUCAGGAUGAUUAAGGCCCGAAACCUUUCAAAUUCAAGUUAGCUUGGAUGGAGGUUGACGGAUUCCGGCAGCCGGUUGAGGAAUGGUGGGAUACCUGUUUAGUAUAGGUUAUGCAGGCUUUAGGCUCUCAAGGAAACUCAAACUUUUGUUAGGAAAAAAUAAAUAAUUUUGGAAGAAAGAAGUUUUGGACACUAGAGAAGCAGAGUUUGAUAAUGUUUUAAAGGUGAUCCAUGACUUAGACUUCAUGGAGGAAUUAGGGAAUCUCUCUAGUGAAGAUCAAGAAAAAAGAGCCUUGUUGAUUUCAAGAUAUGCUAGUCGAAUUAAAGAGGAAGAAAUUUAUAUGGUGGCAGAGGUCAAGAGCGUUAUGGCUUAAGGAUGUGGAUAAAAAUGCAUGGUAUUUUCAUUGCAUAGCUAGCGUAAGAGCUCGGAGCAACCAUAUCAGUAAUUUGGUGAUUAACGGCUCUUCAUCCUCAGAUAAAGGGAUUAUUUGUGAGGCAAUUGUAUCCUUCUAUAAAACUCUUUUGAUUUCAGAUUCUUGGAAUCGAUUACAGUUGGAUCACUUAGAGUUUCCCCAAUUGCCGGUUGAGGCAGUUAACUUUCUUGAGUCUCCCAUUUUGGAGGAGGUCAAAGCGGCUUUGGAUUUGAUGUGCGGGGACAAGGCGCCAUGCCCAGAUGGUUUCCCUAUGAUGUUUUUCAAAUCAUAUUGGGAAAUAGUUAAAAAGGACGCUAUGGAAUUCAUCUCAGAAUUUUAUGGGCGGGGUCAUCUUUCCAAUGAUCUUGGUCAAUGUUUAUUGCUCUCAUUCCCAAACUCAAAGGAGAGAAAUUAGUCAAAGACUUCAGACCUAUAAGUUUGGUUGGAAGCCCAUACAAAAUAUUAGCCAAAGUGUUGGUUCUUUCUUUCCGGACUGUGCUGGGUAAGGUAAUUUCCAAGAAUUAAGGGGCUUUCGUCACAGGAAGAGAAAUUUUGGAUAGCUCAUGAAUGCAUUGAUUCUAGAAACAUAGCAAAGAAGAGGGGUGGUUUGCAAACUUGAUAUUGAAAAAGUCUACAAUCAUAUGGAUUGGGGCUUCCUCGACCAUAUAUGCUAAUAAGAUGAGGUUUGGUAAAAAAAUGGAGAGGUUGGAUGCAGUCUUGUGUUUAUUCAGCUCAAUUCUCUAUCUUGAUUAAUAGGUCUCCAAAUGGGUACUUCAAAGCAUCUAAAGGGCUUUAUCAGGGGGAUUCAUUAUCUCCUUAUUUGUUUGUGGUGGUUGGGGAGGCUUUAAGCAUGAUGCUCCACAAGGGUGAGGAAAUUGGAUUAAUCAAAGGUUUUGAAGUCGCUUUCGGGGGAAUCUAGAUUAGUCAUCUUCAAUAUGCAAAUGACACUAUUAUUUUGUGAGGCGGAUGUGGUUUUGGUCGAUAAUAUUCGAAAAGUUAUUGUGUGUUUUGAAGGUGUCUUGGGGCUUAAUAUCAAUAUUGCUAAAAGUAAAAUGCUCGAUAUUCAGGUUGUUAAGGAGAAAUUCUCUGGGCUAGCAGAGGUUUUCGGAUGCAAAACUAGCUCGUUUCCUUUGUCUUACAUCGGUUUGCCUUUGUAUAUUAGGAAGCCCGCUCGACACUCUUGUGAUUAGGUGAUUGAAAGAAUUGAAAUAAAGCUAUUUAGUUGGAAGAGGUAUUUGUCAUUGGGAGGUAGAUUAACUCUCAUCAAGGCCACUUUUUCCAAUAUGCCGGGUUAUUUCACAUCUUUAUUCAAAUGCCCGAAGUCAGCACUCCAAAGGCUUGAUAGGUUAAGACGCGAUUUCUUAUGGCAAUGUUCAAAAGAUAAAAAGAAACUUCAUCUCCUUAUUUGGAAAGCGGUUUGCAAACCUUUGGUAGAAGGAGGAGCGGGUAUUAAGAACCUUGAUUCUAUGAAUAUGGCUCUUAUUGGGAAAUGGCUUUGGAGACUCGGACCCGAGGAGGGGAGACUUUGGAGAGAUAGGGUAAAAUACAGUUUAUGUGUUGAUAGAUGGGAGGGUGAAAUGUUUGUCCUUAUAUUGAGCUUUUGGCUUGUGGAAGGUGGUCUCCUUGGUUGAGCAUCAGUUCCAUGAAGGUAUCACCUUUUCUUUGGGGAAUGGGAGUCAAAUUUGCUUUUGGACUAAUGUUUGGUGUGGAGAUCGAGCUCUCAUUCGGCCCUUUCUUGGUUGGCUCGCAUUGCUCCGGAUAGUGAUGUUUUGGCGAAGGAUUGCUAUUCGAUUUGCGGCGAGUUGGUAGCGUGGUCCCCUCCUUAUAGGAGGAAUCUGUUAGAUAAUGAGAUUGUGGAGAUUGCAGAGCUUCUUUGCCUAUUAAAGGAUAGAAUCCCCAUGAUUUAGGAAGUAGAUUCUUUGUGAUUUGGCACGCCCAUAGCUCAGGUUAGUUCUCAGUUAGAUCCUUUCAUCAUUUGUUGAAUGGUGCGCCUCAUGUUCAGUCUUUCUCAUAUCAUUUGUUGGUUUUAUGUUGCCCCUUUUUGGUUGGUGGCAUUUGGGUGGUUAGUGGGCAAUAAGAGGGUGCUUACUAUUGAUAAUUUGCAGAGAAGAUCUCUUAUUUUGCCCAACAUUUCCCUUGUGUGUAAGGAAGCGGCGGAAUCUGUGGACCACCUUUUAUGUAUUGCUCUUUUGUUUGUAAGGUUUAGGAGCACUUUUUGGAUUUGUUCCAUAUCGAUUGGGUAAUGCCAAGGUCGAUUAUGAAGCUGAUGUGGGCUUGGCAUCAAGGGGGACUUGGGAAAGUAGGCAAAGUGUUGUGGAGGAUGCUCAUGUUGGGGAUCUUUUGGGUCAUUUGGGGACACCGAAAUAGGAGGGCUUUUCAAAAUGGAUGUUCUUCUAUCCAAGAGGCUAUUUUGGCAGAUUAAGUGGAAUUUGGUGGGCUGGGCUUCUUUUGUUAAAAUAGUAAAAUCUGUAAAUGUUUUCUCCUUUUUUUUUUUUUAGUUGUGGAUUGCCUUUAUUCACGCUUCUUCAAUAAAUUGUUGUUAUCUCUAUAAAAAAAAAUCUAUGUUUUUCAAGUAAAAUCAUGGAGGUGGAAAACAAUUUCCAUAGCUACUUUAAAAAAAAAAAACAAAA